rnacentral:rRNA from 1 species
UUAGUGGCGGACGGGUGAGUAACGCGUGGAUAACCUGCCGUAUACAGGGGGAUAACACUUAGAAAUAGGUGCUAAUACCGCAUAAGCGCACGGUUCCGNAUGGAACAGUGUGAAAAACUCCGGUGGUAUACGAUGGAUCCGCGUCUGAUUAGCCAGUUGGCGGGGUAACGGCCCACCAAAGCGACGAUCAGUAGCCGGCCUGAGAGGGUGAACCGGCCACAUUGGGACUGAGACACGGCCCAAACUCCUACGGAAGGCAGCAG